CAUGUAGGCGGAUUGAUAAGUUUGAAGUGAAAUCCUAUAGCUUAACUAUAGAACUGCUUUGAAAACUGUUAAUCUAGAAUGUGGGAGAGGUAGAUGGAAUUUCUGGUGUAGAGGUAAAAUCCGUAGAGAUCAGAAGGAAUACCGAUUGCGAAGGCGAUCUACUGGAACAUUAUUGACGCUGAGAUGCGAAAGCGUGGGGAGCAAACA
rnacentral:rRNA from 1 species